rnacentral:rRNA from 1 species
CAAUAGCGUAUAUUAAAGUUGUUGCAGUUAAAAAGCUCGUAGUCUGAUUUCUGUCGAGGAAGUCCAGUCCGCCCUCAGGGUGUGUACUUGGUUACGUCCUUGACAUCUUUCUGGGGAACGCAGUGUCCUUCACAGGAUGUUGUGGAACCUAGAACCUUUACUUUGAGGAAAUUAGAGUGUUCAAAGCAGGUCUCGCCUUGAAUACGUUAGCAUGGAAUAAUAAGAUAGGACUUUGGUUCAAUUUUGUUGGUUUCUUGAGCUGAAGUAAUGAUUAAUAGGGAUAGUUGGGGGCAUUCGUAUUUAACUGUCAGAGGUGAAAUUCUUGGAUUUGUUAAAGACGAACUACUGCGAAAGCAUUUGCCAAGGAUGUUUNCAUUGA